rnacentral:rRNA from 1 species
AAAGGCUAAAACUCAAAAGGAAUUGACGGGGGCCCGCACAAGCGGCGGAGCAUGCGGAUUAAUUUCGAUGCAACGCGAGAACCUUACCAAGGCUUGACAUGCACGAGAGCCACCAGAGAUGGUGGUCUCUUUGGACACUCGUGCACAGGUGUGCAUGGUUGUCGUCAGCUCGUGUCGUGAGAUGUUGGGUUAAGUCCCGCAACGAGCGCAACCCUCGUCCCAUGUUGCCAGCGGGUUAUGCCGGGGACUCAUGGGAGACUGCCGGGGUCAACUCGGAGGAAGGUGGGGAUGACGUCAAAUCAUCAUGCCCCUUAUGUCUUGGGCUUCACGCAUGCUACAAUGGCCGGUACAAAGGGCUGCGAUACCGUAAGGUGGAGCGAAUCCCAAAAAGCCGGUCUCAGUUCGGAUUGGGGUCUGCAACUCGACCCCAUGAAGUCGGAGUCGCUAGUAAUCGCAGAUCAGCAACGCUGCGGUGAAUACGUUCCCGGGCCUUGUACACACCGCCCGUCAAGUCACGAAAGUCGGUAACACCCGAAGCCCAUGGCCCAACC